AGUGAACGCUGGCGGUAGGCCUAACACAUGCAAGUCGAACGGCAGCACAGGAGAGCUUGCUCUCUGGGUGGCGAGCGGCGGACGGGUGAGGAAUACAUCGGAAUCUACUUUUUCGUGGGGGAUAACGUAGGGAAACUUACGCUAAUACCGCAUACGACCUACGGGUGAAAGCAGGGGAUCUUCGGACCUUGCGCGAUUGAAUGAGCCGAUGUCGGAUUAGCUAGUUGGCGGGGUAAAGGCCCACCAAGGCGACGAUCCGUAGCUGGUCUGAGAGGAGGAUCAGCCACACUGGAACUGAGACACGGUCCAGACUCCUACGGGAGGCAGCAGUGGGGAAUAUUGGACAAUGGGCGCAAGCCUGAUCCAGCCAUACCGCGUGGGUGAAGAAGGCCUUCGGGUUGUAAAGCCCUUUUGUUGGGAAAGAAAUCCAGCUGGUUAAUACCCGGUUGGGAUGACGGUACCCAAAGAAUAAGCACCGGCUAACUUCGUGCCAGCCGCCGCGGUAA
rnacentral:rRNA from 1 species